rnacentral:rRNA from 1 species
UACGAAGGGGGCUAGCGUUGUUCGGAAUUACUGGGCGUAAAGCGCACGUAGGCGGAUUGUUAAGUGAGGGGUGAAAUCCCAGGGCUCAACCCUGGAACUGUCUUUCAUACUGGCAAUCUCGAGUCCGAGAGAGGUGAGUGGAAUUCCGAGUGUAGAGGUGAAAUUCGUAGAUAUUCGGAGGAACACCAGUGGCGAAAGGCGGCUCAC